AUAUUUGUAGACGACAUAGUAGGAUGAUAAUAUUGUUGAGAAUCAUAUGCCGAGAAUGGUGUAGUUGAACUAGUAGCAAACAUUGUUGGUAUUGGGUUUUGAGAACUUGAUGAGAAAUAAUUGUAGUAUGUUGUAUACCAAAAAUAUUUGUAGACGACAUAGUAGGAUGAUAAUAUUGUUGAGAAUCAUAUGCCGAGAAUGGUGUAGUUGAACUAGUAGCAAACAUUGUUGGUAUUGGGUUUUGAGAACUUGAUGAGAAAUAAUUGUAGUAUGUUGUAUACCAAAAAUAUUUGUAGACGACAUAGUAGGAUGAUAAUAUUGUUGAGAAUCAUAUGCCGAGAAUGGUGUAGUUGAACUAGUAGCAAACAUUGUUGGUAUUGGGUUUUGAGAACUUGAUGAGAAAUAAUUGUAGUAUGUUGUAUACCAAAAAUAUUUGUAGACGACAUAGUAGGAUGAUAAUAUUGUUGAGAAUCAUAUGCCGAGAAUGGUGUAGUUGAACUAGUAGCAAACAUUGUUGGUAUUGGGUUUUGAGAACUUGAUGAGAAAUAAUUGUAGUAUGUUGUAUACCAAAAAUAUUUGUAGACGACAUAGUAGGAUGAUAAUAUUGUUGAGAAUCAUAUGCCGAGAAUGGUGUAGUUGAACUAGUAGCAAACAUUGUUGGUAUUGGGUUUUGAGAACUUGAUGAGAAAUAAUUGUAUGGGGAAUCAUAAUUUGCAAACCCAUAUUGUCGUUGUCAUUGUCGUUGUUGUUGUUGUUGUCGUUGUCGUUGUCGUUGUAGUUGUCGUUGUUGUUGUCGUUGUUGUUGUUGUUGUUGUUGUCAUUGUAUCGUUGUCGUUGUCGUUGUCAUUGUCGUCGUCGUUGUUGUUGUUGUUGUUGUCGUUGUCAACAUCAUCAACAUCUUCAACGACAACCUCAUCAUCAGUAUGUUGUAUACCAAAAAUAUUUGUAGAUGACAUAGUAGAACAAUAAUAUUGUUGAGAAUCAUACGCCGAGAAUGAUGUAGUUGAACUAGUAGCAAACAUUGUUGGUAUUGGGUUUUGAGAACUUGAUGAGAAAUAAUUGUAUGGGGAAUCAUAAUUUGCAAAACCAUAUUGUUGUUGUUGUUGUUGUCAUUGUCGUUGUCGUUGUCGUUGUCGUUGUUGUUGUCGUUGUCAUUGUCGUUGUCGUUGUUGUUGUCAUUGUCGUUGAAGUUGUAUUCAACAAAUUAAUAUUCAACAAUACUGAAUUAAUUCAGUCAAACAAAUUAACUACUACUAAAUUCGAAAUUUAAUUCUGCAAUUAAUAUUCAACCACUAAAAUUUAAUUUAGUCAAAGAAAUUAAUGCUACUGAAUUCGAAAUUAAAUUAUGCAAUUAAUAUUCAACAAUACUGAAUUAAUUCAGUCAAACAAAUUAACUACUACUAAAUUCGAAAUUUAAUUCUGCAAUUAAUAUUCAACAACUAAAAUUUAAUUUAGUCAAAGAAAUUAAUGCUACUGAAUUCGAAAUUAAAUGCUAUUGAAUUCGAAAUUUAAUGCUACAUUUUAAUGCAUUCAGAAUGGGUUACAUGGAUAAAUUACACUACAAAAAUCUCUGCACCAUACUGUGUAUAGUCAUUAUGUAAAGUCAUUCAAUAAUAGAAUCUUUGUACCACACUAUGUAUAGUCAUUUAGUAAUUUUCUUUCCAUUGUAUAGUCAUUCAAUAAUUUCCUUUCCAUUGUAUAAUCAUUCAACUCUGCAAUAUUCUGCACACUUCAACUCCAUUGUAUAGUCACACUAAAAUCUUCUACACACUUCAACUUUAUUUGACCACACUUAUUUCCACUUUAUAGUAUAUUUAUAGUAUAUAGUUAUAGUAAAUUUAUGGAAAUACAUUAGUCUUACGAAAUACAAUAGUCUUAAUAAAUUUGGAUCAAUAAAAAUACAUUAUAAAGGUAGUGACUAAAAAUUAAACUAGUCUUACGAAUGUUGCCUAGAACUCUCCCCUUCCCCUAAUUCUCUAGAUCGCAAUAGACAUGUCUUCCUGUUAUGUCAUUCGGUUCUACACCAUCCACAUUUUUUAAGUUGUUCACCUUCAACUUGAUCCAUCUCAUUGUGAAUGCGUGAAGUCUUUGGUCUUCCACUUCUUUUCCUACGCAUAACAGGAUUGGGAAUGAAUGUCGGACCUGAAUAAGGAUGUUAAUAUUCUUCAUUACCAAGUGGUUGAAACUCAUAUCCAUAACCCUUCUGAAGAUUAUCUAUGCGGUAAAUUGUUGAGAUAAAUUGGCUGCAGUCUAAAUUCAAAGAAGCGCACGUUGCGAUAGCAUGAGAGCAUGGCAAUCGUAAUGAUUGAAAUUCUCCACAGUCACACCAAUUCUCAGCAAGUUUUACUGUAUACAACCUCAUUUGCCGACCACCAGAUCUANNNNNNNNNNNNNNNNNNNNNNNNNNNNNNNNNNNNNNNNNNNNNNNNNNNNNNNNNNNNNNNNNNNNNNNNNNNNNNNNNNNNNNNNNNNNNNNNNNNNAUAAUAUAACAAUAUUUUUAAAAUUAAAAAAUAUAAAUAGGACAUACUCAUUUCUACAACUUUGUCUUUUAGAUCAGAAUCACGGAAUUCCCUAUUGAAAUUACUAGCUACAUGACGAAUACAAGAACCUGAUUGUGCACUAGACCAUCCUGUCAACUCACUUCGGAGUGCAGCUAAUAAACCUGUCCCCCUAUCUGAUAUGAUACACAGGUUUUCUUGAGGGGUAACAUACGUCUUAAGAUUGUAAAAAAACCAUCCCCAAGCUUCUUUUGUCUCUCCUUCAACAAUGGCAAAUGCAACUAGAAAUACACGUCUGUUUCCAUCUUGUGAUCUUGCUAUUAGCAAUGUUCCAGUAUAUUUCCCGGUCAAAAAUGUACCAUCCACUUGUAGGAUUGGUUUACAAUAACCAAACCCUUCAAUACAUGGUUUGAAAGCCCAAAAUAUUCUAUCGAGAAUGAUUCGACUUGGGUCUUCCAUGCCAUCUACAACUUCGUGAUGUGCUUGAUAUUUUACUUUACAAUUGUGCCCGGACAAAAAUAUUGUCGAGCAUUCAUCCAACGUGGUAACUCAUUAUAAGACCCUUCCCAAUCACCAUAAAUUUUGGCCAUUGCCAUUUGUUUUGCAGUCCACGCCUUUCUAUACGUGAUUGUAUAACCAAAACGACUAACAAUCUCCUUCACCAAUGCCUUAACUGGUGUACUCGGAUCUGCAGAUACCAAAUUAACAAUAAGGUCUGCAAUGAAUGACGAAUUUAAUUUACUAUGAUCUUGAGAAACUACCAUAGAUACACAACUAUGUGUUCCACUAAUUUUUUCUAAUCUCCCAAUAAUCGCGUUUAACGUUAUAAGAAGCGCGAAUGCGAAUUCGCCACUCACAUCCUGCACCAAAAUGUUUACAUUUGGCAACGUAUAUGUCCGGUCUAGACUCUACAACAAUAUAAUCAAACGAAUUUUUUAUAUGAAAUUCUCUAAUUGCAUUUAUUGUGGCUUCUUUAGAUUCAAAUUGCAAGCCGAUAAACAAAUCAUUAUCAACAACAUUCAUCCGGUUAUGUGUCCAAUAUCACGACCAGCUUGAGAAUUUGUGUUCAAGAAAAAUGACGAGGGAGUAGUAUAUGUCAUACUACGAGAUGAACUACUACCAAACUGAACCUCUUCCUCAUCACUGCAUAUUUCAAUCUCCUCUUCAUCACUAAAAUCGCUAACAAUAUCUCUCACAAUGGCCAUCUACAUUAAAAAAUUAAUAACAUUGAAACAUAUAAACUUAUACAAAUGAAAUAAAAUGGAGCAACUAAAUAAUAUAUUAACCUCUACAAUAAAAGCUUACUCAAAGAAACUGAUUAACAAAUUGGACUGUUUCAGAGAAUGGAGAGAAAUUUCUGUGAAAAUAUAAUUUACAUACCACUACGGCGAGGUAAAUAUAUAGACAUUCAAAAACUCCUCCCCCAUUGUCGAUUUAGGGGGAGAUUAAAAAAAAUAAAAUAAUCAAAAAACUCCUCCCCCAUUGCCGAGUUAGGGGAGGAGAUUAAAAAAAAAUAUUUUGAAAAACUCCUCCCCCAUUGCAGAUUUAGGGAGAGGAUAAUUAAAAAAAAGGUACACCAAGACUGUAAUUUUUCGAUCAAGGUAUACAAACAAUGUAAAUUUUCCGUGUUUUGUCUUUAUACAUGAUAUUAAUAUAAACAUGUAUAAUUAUGACUAUUAAAUUGAUGUUGCCACCUUCCAUUUUUCUGGUAUCAAAGAAAUAUAAAAUUUCAUAAUAGUCAUUUGUGCAUUGGUGUCCAUGUCACCUAUGUAUUUAUGUAGAAUAUUUCCAAACACUCUUAAUUAUAAUAUUACCUUUUUAUAAUUUUUAUGUCACUGUUAUUGAUGAAAAUGUCGUAAUAAUUCUAUAAAAAUUAGCAUUUUAUUAUUUUUACAAUAAUUCAUUCUAACUUUUAAAGCAUUAUUCAUUUCUUUUGAUUUAAUAUUUGGCUUUUAUGUUAAUUUCACAUAUGAACAAGCAAUUCAUUUAAGUAAUACAGUUUAUUUCAUAUCAAAUAAGAAUGAGGUUCAAGUCUCACUAUAGAGAGAACCCUAUUAGAGAGUGUUAGCCUCAUUAUAUUAUGAAUAUUAUAUUUCAGACUAGAAUAAGACUGUCUCUUCUAAAAGAUACAUGGAUAAACCCGGAUAAAUUAAUUAGAUUUAUGCAAUAUAUUAAAUAAACUAUAUUUAAUUUUUAGGUAGGCCUCAUAUUAAUUAUAUAUAUAUAUAUAGGUGUCCUCUUAUUUUCAAAGUUUGUUCCAUUCCCGUGUGUGUUAGGUCAUUUGCCUUGUUUCAUAUUGGUUUAUCCUUAUGAAUAUUAUCUGAAUAUUCAUUAUAUUAUAACCAAAAAAUAUAUUCAUUAUAUUGAAAUUCAGAGAAUAACAUAAGAAAAUAAUAACAAAUUUCAUUAAUGGCAUUGUUUCAAAUUGAUUAAUGAGAUUAUAAGAGAAUUAUGCUUUUAUACAUGCAUUACAAGAGGAAACUUAGCCUAACAAACUUAACAAAUGGCUAAUUAACUAAUUAAAAAGUAAAGUGGAUAAUAAAACUAAUUAAUCUUUAAUAUCCCUCAACCUGAAAAAUGAAUAUCAUUGACUCCAAUUUCGGAUAGAAGAUAGCAAAUAUGAAGUAGUAGAAACAUAAAUUACUAUAGUAGUUGUUGAAUAUGGCAAAAAAAAACAAAGGUCCAAAUUUUUAUUUAAUUUUAAAUUAAAUAUAUAUAAAAUUAAAAUUUUCUCUUGGCGCACACAAUCUAAUACUUGAGGGUUGACUAAUGGAGAGAAACUUAACUCAACUGAAGCAAUGGAAUUGGGAGAGCCUCUAAAAUAGCAAAUUUUGACAUCUAAGAUAAAUAAGCUUGACUCAAGUACCAUAUUGGAAUUUAAAGAACAAAUGAAGAAAUAAACAAUGAAUUUCAUUAAUUUGAUUGUUUCAAAUUGAUUAAUGAGUUUAGGAGAGAACAAUGAUUUUGUAUAAAUAUUACAGGAAGAAACUUAACAUAUCAAACUAAACAUAAUACCAGCUUUCUAGAAAGUAAAGUGGAUAAUAGAAUUAAUUAAAAUUUUGGAAAUAUUUAAUAAUUGGCUAUUUGCAGAUAAUAAAUAUUAAUCGAAGAGGAAAUAAUUAUUUAAAUAUAAUGAGAUGCUUUUCCCAGCAAAAACAUAACGAUAUGCUUUCACGGCAAGUAUAUAUGUCUAUGAGUGGGGCUUUAUACAAGGUAUCCAAGUAAACUAUUUUUAAUUUUUUUGGUAAACAAGAAUACAUGUCUUAAUCUUAAUGUUAGUAUGUGCAGGUUCGAGUCUUGUGGAUAAAAAAAAUGUUUGCUAUGAGAGUUAGUCUCACAUAUUUGUGGAUGUUUUUGACUCGGACAAGUUUGCCUCCAGUGCGAAGAUAUUUAUGGAAAACAAAAAAAUGUUAGUAUAUAUGUACAUAACAAUUAUAUAAGAGUUUAAUGAAUGUGGGUUGACAAUGAUAAUUUUUAAUAAUAUAAACAUGACUUUGGGAUAAAAAUGACUUUAUGCAAUAUAUCUAAGUAAUCCAUUUAUUUUUGGUCAACAAGUAAACGGUAUUUUAUCUUAAUUAGUUUUUCUACUUGCAUGAUAUAUAUGUGGUUAAUAAAAUAUAAAUAAAAUAUAUUCUUCAAUGAAUGGUGGGAUCAGAAAUGCUCUCAAGGUAGUUUCACGGCAAGGCUAGAGAGACAUCCAUGAUAGUGGAGUGAUUGUCUGAAGGUUGCUGUGGAUAGCAUGAACUCUAACAACAGCGAUUUCUAGUAGAUAAUGCUAUCUACUACUUUCGUGGGAAAGACUUAAGUAAAAAAACGACAUCUAUUUAAAGAUAAUUAAUAAAUUUCUAACAAUACAUUAAAAAUUUGAUCUGAUUAGAAUUUGGUGCUAAAUUUUAUAUACAAAAACAUAAAUAUACAUAUAGGGAGGAGAUCCACGUGCUCCAAUAAGUUAAAAAAAUCUACUCUAUUUCUUAGUCAUACAAUCUAGGAAAAUUCAUUGAUUUGAAUUAAUGAACAUAUAUAAAAACAAAUGUAAAAUGAUUAUUUAAAAUUAGAAGUAUUAAUUUUUUAAUAAUUAGUUUUGCAUAUUAAUUAUUUUGCUCAACCGUUUUUACAAUAUAUGUAUGAUCAUUAUAUUUGUAAUAAAUACUAUAUAUAAAGCCAAAACUUAAAAUAACUUCACUCAUGGUGUAAUUUUCAUUUCCUAUAUUGCCCUUAAUAUUAUUUAAUUUUUACAAAAAAGCUAUAUAAUCCUAAACAACUACCAUCAACACAUUAAUUAAUCAUAUAUCUCACCUUAAUUAAACAUUAUCGUAAACACAAAAAAAUAAUAUAAUGUACACCGAACACAAAAAUACAUUUUAAUUCAAAAAAAUGAAAUAUAUAAAAAUUGAAUAUGUAGUAUCAUACAAUAUUCGCCGACAGGCACGAAGUGCCUGUACAUACUAGUUUGUAAUAAAUUAAAUGGUUAACUAUGUGAUUGUAGACCAUGCCUCAAUGAUUUGAUUAGAAUGCUAUCUAAAAUAAUAAUUAACUCCUUAAUUUCAGCAAUAUGACAUUACAACCCAACAAUAAAAGAGGAUUGAAUUUUAUAGAUUGGUUUAAUGGGAAUGUGCAUGAGAAAUGAUAAGAGAUUGUUCGUGAAUGAUUACUAAAAAUAUGUUCAAUUUCGAUUUGAAUUCAUGUAAUAAUUAUGAAGUGAUUUGUUACCUUGCAUCAACAUCAUGUCACUAAACUUUCUAUUGUCUUAUUACUCAUCACUUAUCUAUUUGAUUAUGAGAAUGUGACAUUUUGUUUGUCACAUAACUGAUUAGUAGAAAUAGUGUAUAAGUGUAUUUGAUUUGAUAAAAUGUAAACAAGUAUAGAUGUUAAAAUGUGCAUCCGACAGGUAGCUUCUAGCAUAUUUAGCAAUUUGAUUUUAUCUAUAAUCUAUACCAUUAUAUAAAGGCAAAACAAUUAUUAACCGUCAUGGAUGGAGUAAUUUUGAUAUUCCAAUUUUAGUCUUUACUCUAUUAUUAAAGUAAUUUCCAUAUUCUAUCCCAAUUUUAAACUGCAAAACAAAAUUGAUACAUGUAAAUUAUCUAAUAACAUAAAAUUAUCUAUACUAUUAUAUAAAGCCAAAAUUCAUUUUAACUACCAUGACAUGGUAUAAAUUUUUAAUUCCAAUUUAGCCCUCACUCUAUGUUGUAACCUCCUCUAUUCAAAACUCUUAAACUGCUCAUUCUCUCACAUUCUCAUCCUUUUUCUUCUUCUAUUCUCCACAAUCAACUCUUUUUUCUCUCAGAUAACAAAAAUGAAACUUUAUAAAAAAAAGAGACUCAAUAACCUAAUAAUGCAAAUGGGUUCUCUAUUGGAGGACUUUGAAUCCAUGAGGGCUGGAAAAGUACUUCUCCAUCAUGUUAAUGAAGUGAUUGUUGUCAUGAACGGAGCAUGGUGGAUCCUUUACCAGAAGUGUUAUGCUGUCUUUGAUGCAGCGGUUGUGAUCAGCGUAGAGGGCGGUGAGUUGGGAAGUGAGUUUUUGAUCGCACUCAACGCUGGAAAUGGUGAGAUAACAACAAAGAUCACAUUUGCAUUAUCAGGUUAUCUCAUGUUGUUGUGUCUCAUACCUCAUUCUACAAUUGCAAUAUUAUCGUUUUCUCUUAUAUUAUCAUAUACUCAAGAAGUUUUAAAAACAAUUUCAAUUCAUUAUUUACAGUUUAAACUCUGGUUAAUCUUGAGAAACAUGUGUUAUAAUUGUACGUUUAGGGUGAAUAUGUUAAGAGAAAUAAUCUAUUAUUCUUUGAUAUUAUACAUCCUCUUCUCUUAGUUUCCCUCUUUCUUAUCUUUAAUUUCUAUUUUAUUUUGAUGUAGUUUAUAAAACAUUAUGCACAAAAGAUGUUCGACGAAAUACUUCACCCAUUGCAUGUAGAAACAACAAUAGGUAUGCAUAUUUUCUUUUCACAUUUUGGUGUGGUUAUCCGUUGUACUUUGGCCACUGGUUACUGUUUGUGAAAAGUUCCAAUAGAAUGUAGUACUUUCAUGUUCUUUUACUUUUUUUUCUUUUCUUCACCAAACUGUCAUACUCAUCUUAUAUCAUAUGGGUUACUUCAUUUUAUAUCUUUUGCUUCGUUAGGUAGGAUAAAUUGCUAUUUUACAAAAGAUGUUGUAACACUUUUUUCCAAUGAUUAUUAUCUCAUAGCAAAGAAGUAAAAGUAUACUCAGUAGAUGUAGAUAAUUUAUGCAAUAUUAGUGGGUGACAUAAUCAAGGGAUUUCAAUAGGCAGGUAGAAAAUUUUGAGUUAGUGAAAAAUGUUUUUUAAUAAAUCUUAUUACUCUUUCCUUUGUAUAUAUUUGUUUUGCCACUUAUUUUUUAUUCUGAAUUUUGUAGCUUUUCUAAAUCUUAUUACAUAGUGCAUGCCUCAUAUUUACUUUAAAUUUACAUAUUGUUAACGUACAUUCCUCCCAAUUUCAUUUUGCAGAGAAUGUGGGUGACAUUAACAGAAUAGGGCAUGGUUAGAAGUUGGCCUCCUUAUUAUCCAUAACUACUGUCACAUGUGUUCCUUUGAUUCAAUUUUCCGUCAUUCACUAUUCCAACAAUUUUUUUGAGAUGUAUUAAUAAAUAUGAGGUACACACUAUGUAUUGUAUUCAAAUAUAUUGUCGCUCAUUUGUUUAUAAUUAGCUUACCUUCUGUUAAUUUCAUGCCUACACACUCUUAUCAUAUUUUUCUCUUCGCUUACAUUUUGUUCAAAGAUGCCAAAGUGACACUAAGAUGGUUUGUGUUUAUGCUUUAUAUGUUUUGAGAGGGUUAUUGUCAACAUUUCUAACAUAUCCUUAAAUUUAUAAGAUGCGUGAUACAAUAACCUGUUCAACAUCACAGAUUAAAUGAUGACUCAAUUAUUUUUUCUAAGUCAAUGUAUAUUUACCUAAUAAUAAUAAUAGUCAAUGUAAUUAGAAAGAAAAUACAAAAUACACUACUUCCUUUGUUAUUUGUUUCAUUCAUAUGUAUUGUUGAAAGUUGAAAAUAAUUAACUAGAUUAUUUUAUUUUUAUCAUUANNNNNNNNNNNNNNNNNNNNNNNNNNNNNNNNNNNNNNNNNNNNNNNNNNNNNNNNNNNNNNNNNNNNNNNNNNNNNNNNNNNNNNNNNNNNNNNNNNNNCUUCUUUAAGAAUUCAAGUAGUGUUUAUAACAUGUAAAUAUUGAAAACUUAAGCAUCAAGCAAUAGGAAUGCGGAUUGACACACAUGAGAGUGUCUAUCAACACAUUACAUAAUUACUUAAUUUUUGCUUUAUGUAGUUGAAAAACAUUUCAUGACAACCUUACACAUUACGUUCUAAACCUCAUAAAAUUUAUUUUACUGACUUCGCCCUAAUCAUAAACUUCACCUACAAAAAUAUCUGUGAGUCACUCAAUUAUUUGAAUGUUCUAUUUAAAAAAAUUAAAAAUUACACAAAUCGAAUAAACUCAACUACAAAUUACAAUAUUUUGUACAAAAUACUAUAUUUGACAUUUAUAACAUACAAAAUACACAUUGCGAACAAUGGAAAAGCGGGUUGGCAGGCACGGUAGUGCCUGUCANNNNNNNNNNNNNNNNNNNNNNNNNNNNNNNNNNNNNNNNNNNNNNNNNNNNNNNNNNNNNNNNNNNNNNNNNNNNNNNNNNNNNNNNNNNNNNNNNNNNUGUGAAGACAACAUAGAACACAAAAUAUUGUUAACUAAAUCAACACAUCAACAAAUUACAUUGGAUUGGUGCUAUGCAAGUUCAUCAUCCAGGUAAACAUACUUUAUCAUGUUACUUAAAAUUAUAUAUAGGUUAAUGACUCUUUAUAUAUUACUAUACAUGACUCUUUCUAUGUAUGUCAGUAUUGUGAAGACAACAUACAACACAAAAUAUGCAAGUAAAUCAACACAUCAACAAAUUACAUUGGAUUGGUGCUGUGCAAGUUCAUCAUCCAGGUAAACAUACUUUAUCAUGUUACUUAAAAUUAUAUAUAGGUUAAUGACUCUUUAUAUAUUACUAUACAUGACUCUUUCUAUGUAUGUCAGUAUUGUGAAGACAACAUACAACACAAAAUAUGCAGGUAAAUCAAUACAUCAACAAAUUACAUUGGAUUGGUGUUGUGCAAGUACAUCAUAUAGGUAAACAUACUUUAUCAUGUUAGUUAAAAUUAUAUAUAUGUUAAUGAAUCUUUAUAUAUUAGUAUACAUGACUCUUUCUAUGUAUGUCAGUACUGCGAAGACAACAUAGAACACAAAAUAUUGUUAUUGUUGCAGUGCAAGUUCAUCAUCGUGGUAAGUCAUAUUUUAUCAUCUUCAAUUAUUAAUCAUACAAAAGAUUAAAUAUUACUGCUAACUUAUAAUUUCAUGCAUUACAAAACUAAUAAUUAUUAUAAGCACAAAUCCAAAAUUUAAGAAAUCUGUUGAUUUCACACAUACAAAAUUAAGCUAAAAUUUAACCUAAUGAAGCAAGAAAUAAUGAAAAUGACUUCAGUAAAAUAAACACAAAAUACCAACUAAAAACCAUAUCAAUGAAAGAAAACAAAAUAUUCUGAAAUAAAUCUACACAUCAACAAAUUACAGAACAAUACAAAAUCAUCUAUACUAAUAUUAAUUUACAGAAAGAUGGAAUGCCUUACAAAACCUUAAAUCCAUAAAAAAAUUAUUAUAAGCACAGAUGUAGAAUUUAUGAAAUCUGUUGAUUUCACACAUCCAAAAUUAAGCUAAGAUUUAACCUACUGAAGCAAGAAAUAAUGAAAAAGAACAUCAAAAUACCAACUAAAAACGAAAUCAAUGAAAGAACACAAAAUAUUUUCAAAUAAAUAUACAGAUCAAGACAUUACGAAACAAUAUAACAUCAUUAUAAUAAAAGUUAAUGUCCAAAAGAAACAGCUAAACACCAUGUGCACUCCUUACUUAAAAGUUUCAGUAACUGAUGUCCUCGGAGCACAAUAGCGUCUAAGAUAACAAUAAGAAAGUAUUCAGAAACAGAAACUCUACUUAUUUUCCUAAGACUAACUAUAACCAUAUGAAAUCAUUCAUCUCCUAAGGUUUAUCACACAUACAUGAAUUAAUAAGUAACAAAGCGUAACACAGUAUAUACUUCAGCAAAGAAUGAUAAACUCAAGGAGAUUUUAACUAAAUCGAAAAUCACAACAUAAAACUAUAACAUCAUUAUAAUAAAAGAUGGAAAAUAAAUAUGGAAGUGCCUUAGAAAACCUUAAAUCCAUAAAAAAUGAUAUGAAGCACAGAUCAAGACUUGAUGAAAAAUAAUAAUGUCAUGCAUCCAGAAUUAAUCUAAUAUCUAACUUAAUGAAACAACAAAUAUUUUCUGGUAUGAGUUGCAAUGGAAAAAGAACAUAAAAAACCAAAUGAAUCAAAGAGAAGGGUAUAUAAAAUCAAGCAUUUAAAAGGGAAUACAAAAUCAUUAUCCUCGAAGAACCAGAAAGGGAAGGGUAGGUGAGCCUUCAUAGAAUGAGCUCAAAUGGUGAAGGAUAGGAUGAGCCGCACACCACCUUCAUACUAGCACUACAAAAAAUUAUCCGAUUAGCCACGGUUAAAACCGUCGCUAUUGUACCACAAAACCGUGGCAAAAAAUAGCAGCCACGGUUUCCACUACCCUAGCAAUUACUGGCGUUGCAAAAAAUUUGCCACAGUCUGUUUAUAAUAUAGCCACGUCUUCACCAAGUGUGGUAACAUUUCUUUAACAAUAGUUUCAACCGUAGCUAAUGUGACUACACCCGUGGCUAAUGUUUACCAUUAAUUUAACUACAAUUUAACCGUGGCUAAUUAUUUAUUCAGUUAUUCACAUAUUCCUCUCCUCAUCCUCUCUACCAAUCAUUAUAUUCCAUAAAAUAAUGAUAAAUUUAUUAAUGAAAUCAAAUAUUUACAAGUUAAAAUUGAUUCUCAAUUUACAAAAUAUUAUUUCCUUUCACAUUGCUUUCUAUCAUAAAAAGAAAGCAAGAUAAAUAAAUAAGGAGGUCCAUAUAAAUAGGAAGGAGUAUUUUAGCACACACACGUACGUAUAUUAUCUUAAAAAAUUAGAUAAACAUGGAGUAAAAUUGAUAUUUUAUUAUUACUCAUACAAAUAUAUUGGAUAUUCCAUACUCCUACAUACACUCUAAAAGAUCCAAUUUAUUAGGAAGAAAAGAUCACAUUAGCUUCAAAAACAGAAAUAUAUCACAAUCUGGCUAGUCACAUACAUAUCUGUAAAAUGUUAAUUGUAGACACCCCACACUAGUAACACUUUGUUCAUAAUCUACAUAGUCAAUGAAAUUGAUCAUGUUCAAAGUCUCUCAUCAAAUCUGGCUAGAAAAAACUACCCAACUCCUGCAACAUUAGGUAGCUAUAACUUUUGAAAUUUAAAAUCUUUAACCAUGCAUAACUAAUAGUACAAUAUAUUAUACUAACAAAUAAAUUAGAAGGAAGUUCAUACCAUGAUAGGAAGGAGAAUGUGAUGCAAUCUGCUUAGCAGAAAGUUGCACCUGGACCAACUUUUUGUAAGAUGUCAAAAAUACUGUCACUACCCCUUUUUAUGGGUGUAACGAGAAAUAUGCAAUUAAAUGCAAUGAAGUCGCCAUCAAUGUUUUUUAGAGGGAAAACAUGAAAACCCAAUUUUUGAAAAUAUGGUUGAUUCACUAAAAAAUAGAAAUUUGAGUUCGGGAGUCGGUUACGGAUGAGGAAGGUAUUAGGCACCUCAUACCGCCCGUUGUAAAAACGGUACCUAGAUCAGGUAUGUGGAUAUUUAUUCAAAACAUUAAUUUUACCCUCACAUUGGUAAACAAAAUAAAGAGAGAACAAAAUAUUUUUUUAUUUUUUUGUGCCUGACAGAAAAAUAACUGCUCCUACGUAUCUCUAGCUGCAAUAGAGUAAUCAAGGCUACGUAGUUCUUUCCAAAAUAAGUUUUAUUAGUGAUAUAUUUUUUCCCUAUUUUAUUUAUUAUGAAAUUCACAACACUAAGUAACGCAACAAGGCACUAGGCCUAUAGUGGGCUAUCUCACGUUGCUUUGAAAAAUUAUAUAUAAAAAAGUAUUCAUAACACAAGGUAACACGAUAAGGUACUGGACCUAUAGUGGGUUACCUCAUAUUUACUUUAUAAAAACUAAUUGAAAUAAAUUUACAAUAUAAGGUAACACGACAAGACACUAGGUCUACAGUGGGUUACCUCAUAUUGCAUAAAAAAAUUAAUUGAAAUAAAUUUACUAACAUAAGGUAACGCGACAAGACACUAGGUCUACAGUGGAUUACCUCACAUUGCUUUAAAAAACUAAUUGAAAUAAAUUUACAACAUAAGGUAACGCGACAAGACACUAUGGGUCUAUAGUGGGUUACCUCAUAUUGUUUUAGAAAAACUAAUUGAAAUAAAUUUACAACAUAAGGUAACGCGACAAGACACUAGGUCUAUAGUGGGUUAACUCACGUUGCUUUAAAAAACUAAUUGAAAUAAAUUUACAACAUGAGGUAACACGACAAGACAAUAGGUCUAUAGUGGGUUACCUCACAUCGCUUUAAAAAUUAAUUGAAAUGAAUUUACAACACAAGGUAACGCGACAAGACACUAGGUCUACAGUGAAUUACCUCAUAUCGCUUUAAAAAUUAAUUGAAAAAUUUACAACAUAAGGUAACGUGACAAGACACUUGGUCUAUAGUGGGUUACCUCACAUUGCUUUAAAAAAAACUAAUAAUUUUUUUUUACCAUAUUUUGACACAUAGGUACAUGUAUAUCAUUUAUUUAACACACAAAUACUAAUCAUGUAAAGAAAUAACAAAACAUAGUGUUAAUUAGGAAAAGAAAAUAAAAGACAUAUAAGUAACUACUAAAACAGUAAUGAAGAAAACAAAUAAAAAAUAUAAUAAUCAAAAGAACAAAACUAAUUGGAGAUUAAUGCGAUAGGGUUUGAAGAUAAUUCGAGGAUUUAGGGUUAAGUUAAAAUUAAAUUGGGAUUAGGUUUUCAAAAUCAAUUUGGGGUUAGGUUUCAAAAAUCAAUUUGGGGAUAGGUUUUAAAAAUCAAUUUGAGGAUUUAGGGUAAAAUCAAUUUGAGGUUUAGGGUUGGGGGUUUCAAAUCAAUUUGGGAAUUUUUAGGGUGAAAAUAAUUUGGGGUUUAGGGUGAAAUUGAAGUAGGGGUUUAUGGUUAAAAUUCAAUUUGGGGUUAGGGUUAAUGGUAAUGCGAGAUGUUCAACAUUGAAAUUAGUUUCCAAACACAAGUAUUUACACACGUUACAAUAACAAAAAGAGGAUAAAAUAAAUAAGAAGAGAAGUACCUCUUUAGAGCUUAUGGAGAAUGAAGAACGAAGAAUAAUGAAGAAGAAAUACAUUUGCUUUAGUUUCUCCCUUCUUUCCUUUUUCUUUUCUUCUUUAUAUGUGUGCCUCUCUCUCUUUCAAAAAUUAGGGUUGCCUCCCUCUUUUUAUUUAUUUAUCAUCCCCUCUGAGUUGCUAAGUUAGGCAUUAUAUAGGGGGUGGGAUUAGGAUUUCUGGUUGGGCUAGGGAAAAAGCCCAGUUGCCACAACAUUUGAAUUUCAAAAUUUCCCCCCUUUUUUGUUUUGCAAUGUUCACCCCGGUCAAAAUUGGGUGUUUACAAAUACCAAGCUCAAUUGCUGAUUGCAGUGACAUAGAUAGAACUAUUGAGAAUCCAAGUUGUGUUGCAUAUGAGAAGGCUUCAUCAUCUUCUAGUUCUUGUGAUUCAUUUUAGCUAACUUCACCAACAACAAACUUCUUAGAGCUAUUCUCUGAAUUUGCCAUUUGGACUAAACUUGAGAAUAAGCAAACAACACUAUACUCUUUGUUUUUGCUGCAAUCAAUUGCAGGACUCUAGAAAUAUUUAUAUAUUAAAAUAGUAUGAGAAGUUAGGUUUAACAAUUAGAUCAGGCAAAAGACAGAUAAAUGAAGCAAUUAGGCAAUUAGGCACAAAAACUGUAGGAUAGAUAACUAACUUAGUUUCUAAACUAAUCUGCUAGUCAUAUAUUAAAAUAGUAUUAGAAGUUAGUUUUAACAAUUAUAUUAGGCAAAAUAACUAGAAAUGAAUGAAUCCAUUUGACAAUUAGGCAAAGGACCAAUGAGAUAAAUAAAUAAUCUAUAUUCUUUCUCUCAAGUACAACAUAAACACAAGGUGGUGGUGAUACAGAAAGAAGAAAAUGUAUACUAUAUGCAUAUAUUGUCAAGAUCUGUAAUAUAUUAUACAGAAUAAUGUGCUUUGUUUUGUGCAUGUCUACAAAAAACACUCUCAAUUUGACUUAUUUUUCUUUCUCUUUCUUAUCAUGUCCAGGUUAAUGGGCUAAAGUAGUAGAUCAUUGUUUCAUUGUGGAUAAUCUAUAUGCAAUCUACCAUUCUGCCAUAAUGAAUAUAGGAACUUGAUAUCUAGAUUUUGGGAAUCACACCAUAGGCAUUGUAUGUGCUUUGGAAAAGGGAUGGAGCUAACCUUUAAUUACAAACAUAUUGUGUUAUCAAAUGUCCUUUAUCCCGAAGAUAAUGUCAUCUACCAUUUUUAGCAAUUCAUCUUACUUAGGCUUCACGUUAUUAUUCAGAAAUCUGAACACACCAAUAUUAACAAUUCAUUGAGAAGAUCAAGCAAAAACAGUCCUAUCUGAACUUUAUACCAUUUAAUAAAGGAGUUUAUGACUAUCUAAAGGAGUUUGUGAUAAAAAAACAUAUAUCAAAGACAAUAAAUGAAAAAGGACUCAAAAUUGUUCAAAUUUCAUAGAUUAAUUCAAUGCUCACAACCUAUAUACAUCAUAGAUGCAAAAUUUAACAUAUACAAGAUGAAAGGGAGUGAAAAUAAAGUAAUUAAUCUUACUCACCAGUAUUAUAAAGUCAAAAUUGUAGGUUGCAAACGGAUUAUGAUUAGGAGAGCUGGACAUAGAAACAUGACAAUUCAUGGGACUCUUGCGAACAGAGGACUCAUCCUUUGAUGACAUGUAAGAUGAACUCCUCUCGAAUUUCUCAUAUCUAUCUUCUUGCAUUAUGUUCAAGUUUUCAAGCCUAGAUUCUAAAGCCAAUGGAUGCUCUUUGCCAUUCAUAUCAGUGUAUAGAAUCGGUCUGUCUGAUUCCUUCUGCAAUUCAAUUGUCAUUACUAUAUUGCUUGUUGGGAUUUUCUAAUGAAUUUGGAUAUAGCAAAAAAGAAGUUUGCCUUACCAAUUUACCACACCAUUGGUGAAAACAUUGAAAUAGGAUUUCCUGUUUUUGGUUGAAUGAAAAUAUGAUUUCUUACUUUGUUCAUAUAUAACAUGGACUCAUAUUUAUAAACCUUGCCCAAGUUAUAAACCAUGUUCAACAAGCACAAAGUAUCUAAAAGCUUGUGAUAAUAUUUCGUAUUGCAUUUUAUUUUAUUUGAUCUAUUGGACAAAAAAAGUCAAUGCAAAAGAAAUAAUUUCCAGAAAAUUUGGUUAUAAACCGGGACUGAUAAGUUUUAAGUAGUAUCAUCUCUCUCUUUCUAAAUGGUACAUUUUAUCUUUGCAUCAGACUAAGGACCAUACAAAAAAUUGCAAAUACAUACACACAUUAAUCUAGUUACAAUAAAUACUAAAUUCAUGUUAAUAGAAAGGAAAGAUAUAUAUACAUAUAAGUACAUCAUCUAAUUUAGGAGUACUAAUUGUUGCCACAGAUGAAUGUGAUGAAACAUCAUAAUCAGUAAAGGAGGCAAUCAUUGCUUUUCAGUGAUCAACCUUACUUGCUUUGGAUUACUGGUAUACGAUUAGGGAUUGAAGAUACAAAAAAUUAGGAAUUGAGAGAUACAAAACUAAACAUGAAAAAUUAGAAACAAAGUGAUGAAAUUGAAAAGUAGAAGCUGCAAAAUUGGUUUUCCAUUUACCUGUGUAGAAACGUCAAUGAUGAAAUUGAAGAUGAAGUUGAAGAUGAAUUUGAAGAGUGAACGAAGGAUUUAAGCAAUUGAAGAAAGAAUCGCCAUCGAAAUCAGAAGAAUCAUCGCGCCUCUGCUUAUGAUGGUUAUCCCAAUCGACAUCGGAAUCAGAAAAUAACCACGGCGAGAGUAAAAGAGAAAGAGGGAAAGGAAAAACAAAAAUCCUUCAUCUCAGUCUUAAGAAAAAUCCUUCAGUGUUAAGAGAAAUAGAUCUGAAUUGAAAUCCUUCAUUAUUUUGAAAUUGAAAGAAAAAGAGAAAGGAAAAACAAAAACCUAAUCUUAGGAGAAAUUGAGAAGAAAGAAAAUGAAAACCUUUCUCUAUGACGGUGAUAGAGUUGAGGGGCCUCUAUGACGGUUAUAGAGUUGAGGGGAAAGUGAGGGAAUGGGAGAAAAAAUUAUGCCAUGGGCUCAAUAAAAUAGCAAGAUGAUGGACUUGGUAAUUAAUUUUGCCUUGGUUUUGGCAGCGUGGCUAAUUUACAGUGUCUAACUCUAUUAUUUGUUGUAGUGUAGGCACAACCUUUAUUUCUUACAGGGAAUAGAAACCCUAAAAGGCAGAGAAUGAAUUGUGGCUGAAAAAAAAUAGAAGUUGUGUUCAAAAUGUAGGAUUUUUAGGUUUUAAUCAAAGGAAGCUAAUUUUACAUCCCAAAAUUGCCCUCACAUUUUUUUCAUAAUCCCCGAAAUGCCCCAGUCUUAUUUAAUUUAAAUGAUUCAUUUUUUAUCUUUUAUAAAUGUAUAAUUUAUAAUGUCAUAAAUGUCAAAUAUAAUAUUUACUUUCCAACAUAUGUUUACAUUUCAUUAACAAUUAUUAUUAAUAUCUUUGUCAUAAUUAUGCUUUCUACAAAAUAUUAUAUAAUAUCAAACAAAUCUUUAAAAAUUACUACAUCUAUACUAAUAUACAUCAAACAAAAAGGGAAAAUAUCUUUUCCUUUUCAGUAUGUGAUUAAAAAGUUUUUAGUAGCUAUAGUUAAAUUUCAAAUUUGUUAAUUGUAUAAAUAAAUAUUUUCCCACGUUAACUCUCAAAAUAAAUAUUUCAAGUUUUUAGUUGUUGUGGUUAAAUUUUACUAACAUAUUAGUUCUCUAUUAUUGAUUCUCUUCACUAUUUACAUACAUCCAAAAGCAUAAAAGCACAUACUACAUAUAAUUAGAAAAAUAGAAACAUUCAUAUUCUUAUAAUUUAAAUAUCAUAAUUGCAUACAGUUGUCUUACAUAAUUUUACGUGUCAUUACAGAUAAUGAAAAAUUCAAAUAGACAUGAAUCACAAGAGGAACGACGACACAGAAUAAGGCAAUAUGUUAGACAAAGAAGGAACAACAUGAACAUAGAGCAAAGACAACAAGAAUUAGCAAGGAGACGUUUAACACGCUAUAGACUAAACAAUGACAAUGAAGCACAACAAAAUCAAAACAAUAUUCAUGUUUGCACAAACUUUGAACAAAGAACUACAAGUAUUACUACAUUUGUCACAUAUCAUUUACUUAAACUCAAAAAAAUCAAAUAUUACUCAUGUUAAAGUCCAAAUAUUAAUAUAUUACAAUAUCUUUUAUUUAACUUUAUUUUGUUGUAUUUUUAGGAUCUAUUCAUAAUCCUUUUGAGACUAUAUCAACAAAUAUUUCAAGUUCAAUGAGAUUGACGUCUGUACGUCAAAUUGCUAGAUCAUCCUUUCGACAACAAUUUCGCACAGGUAAUUUUAUUGAUAGUUGAAAUAUAUACAUUAUGUAAAAUUAUUUAUUUUAUUAUAACUUAAUUCUAUUAUUGUAGUUGUCAUAUAUAUAUUUUGUUAAACUAAAAACACUAUUUGAGAAAUUACUGAAGUUAUUCUUAAAUUUGAUAUGACAUAGUGGUAAUAUUAUAAAAUUUCAUAAAUUUAUUUUAUUAUACUUAAUUCUAUUAUUGUAGUUGUCAUAUAUAUAUUUUGUUAAACUAAAAACACUAUUUGAGAAAUUAUUGAAGUUAUUCUUAAAUUUGAUAUAACAUAGUGGUAAUAUUAUAAAAUUUCAUAAUUUUAUUCAUAUUUUAGGAUAUAUUCAUGGUCAUGUUGAAAAUAUACCAACAAAUAUUUCGAAUACGUAUAUAUUUUGAAUACAAAUAUUUUGAAUACAAUAAGAUUAAAGUCUCGCUGGUUGUGACAAAUUUCACUCACUUUACCAAAAGGUGAAUUAUCCAAUGUUGUUUUUGAUUAAUUUAUUAUCUAAGUUAUGAUGGUCGAUUUGUCUUGGCAAAUCACGUUUUCUUUUCCCAUAAUUUUUGUCAUAAUAGAUAACAAUAGUCACUAAUGAGUGACUAUUACGUUAAUACUGUGUGACUGCACAUAUUUAUUUAUAUAUAAAUACUAUAUUAAUUAUUAUCAUUUAUAUAUAUUACUUUUUUAAAUAAUAUAGUUAAUAAUGUAUAUAUUUUUUCUCAAUCAUUAAAUCAUCAGAGAACAUAUUUGGUUUUAUGUGACUGGAUCAUAUUGCACAUAGUAGGUUAUAUUAGGAGGAUAUUUUAAAACUUUAAAGUUAUAAACAAACAUGUGACAAUGAUUUUUAACCAAAUCAUAUAAUUUAUAUACUGUAUUUUUUUGCAGAUGAUGUCACUAAUAUUAUAAGGUAUCAUGGAAGUCAUGACAAUGAAGCAGGCCCAAGUCAUCGCCAUAGUUCCGAAACUAACAAUUGUCAAUAUAAUUUUACUAAAUUAUACAUAUAUAUCAUAUCAAUAUAUGUAUAACAUUUUACAUGCCUUUAUCUGAACCUAAAAGUUGUUCUUACAUUUUUUGUGUAGCUUAUAAUAAUGACGCAGGACCAAGUCAUGUACAAACCGCUGAAAGUAUUAUUGGUUAGCAUUUAAAAAAUAAUGUCUAAUUACUUCACGAACAGUAUUUGAUUCUAAAUUUUCAAUUAACUUCCAAUUUCACCAUUCAUAAAGUUACAUCAUAUUUUUCGUUAAUUUAUAAUAAGCUUAUAAUUAUAUAACUGUUUUGUCAUCAGAUAUACAUUCCGAUGGACAAAAUUAUCAUACAGAUCAAGACAAUGAACGAAGAUCAACUCAUCAACAUAACCAUGUCAUUCAUUCUGGUUCGUAUAAUAACAAUACAUCAUUUAUUAUCCAAUACAUGUUUUUUCUGCUCUACAUCAUUUGUAAAAUCUUUAAAAAAACAUACAAUUCUAAUUUGUAUAUAUUUUUUAAAUUAUUCUUUUAGGUAAUAACUUUGGUGCAAGACACUAUAAUGAAACACAUUAGAAUGAACCAAUAUUAUCUUCUUUUCAUACUAAUGUACGUGCUAUAUUUUCAUAUAAAAUUUCUAAAUAAUUAAUUAAAAUUAUUCCUUCUAGACUAUGAAAGAUAACUUCAACGAACAUCAUCCUUCAAAAAUAUAUUUAUUAUUACCAUUCAUUAUUUCAAAUAUACAGGUGUUCAAUCAUCAUCAACAUCAUUCCAUUUCCCCCCAGAACAGGAUACAAAUAGUAGGUGCACCUUCCAAUCAAGACAUAACAGUGCUAGAAGCUUCCGAAAUAACAGAAGAAUGAUUGCAUCCCAAUUACCUACUCCAACUUCAUGUACAUGGUGCAAUGCAAAAUUGUUUCACCAUGAGACACAAACUAUUUGUUGUUUAAAUGGUAAAGUUUGGUUGCAACAAAUAGAUACACCUCAACAACUGCUUCACUUAAUUGAUGACUCCUCAGUUGAAGGAAGGCAUUUUAGGCAACAUAUUAGGGGUUACAAUCAUAUAUUUGCAUUUACUUCAUUAGGUGUUCAUCUUGAUAACAACUUAGCCGCAACUGGACGUGGUAUAUAUACCUUUCGUGCCCAAGGUUCAAUUUAUCACAACAUUGGGGGACUACAUCCCAGUGAAGGAGAUAGACCACGUUUCCUGCAAUUAUAUAUCUAUGAUACAGAUCAUGAAUUACAGAAUAGGAUGUUGGAAAACCCCCAACUUCAUGAAAAUGUAGUUUCAAAGUUACAACAUAUACUUCAUCUUCAUAACCCCUUUGUAAAUGUCUUUAAGCAACUUGCAUCACGAACAGAUGUUCAUCAAUGUAGCCUUAUUAUUAGAGAGCGUCCUGCUAACCAACCCCAAUAUAAUCUUCCAACUACUUCACAAGUUGCAGCAAUUUUUGUUGUUGGAGAUGUUGAAACAAUGAUAAAUGGAAGGGAUAUCAAAGUCACAACUCAUGCAGGAAAUCUAAUGAGGAUCCAAGAAACUGUAGGAUAUUAUGAUCCCAUGCAAUAUCCUAUUCUCUUCCCAUAUGGAACGUACGGGUGGGAUACAAACACAACAACCCAUAACGGUAGACGUAUUACAUGUCGAGAGUAUUAUAGUUACAUGCUACAGGUACUUUCCAUUAAUAAUAUGUAUACCAUAUUUCAAUGAUAUAUUAUUUUUAUUACUUUAUUCACAAACAUAACAAUUUAACAAUGUCUAUUUGUAGAUUCGUCCCAAUGAUCAAUCAUUAUUGUUACGAUCGGGACGACUUUUACAACAAUAUGUUGUUGACAACUAUGUCAAAGUUGAGGCAGGAAGGUUGAGGUGGAUCCAUCAAAAUAAAAAUAAUAUUCGCGCUGAAGUGUAUCAAGGUUUACAAGAUGCUUUGCAUGUAGGAGAAUAUAAUGCAGGUAACCACUUAAAAAUUAAAUUUCAAGCAAUAAUGACAAUUGAAUUUACAUAUAUUAAUAUAAUCAUUUUAUUGGUACAGCAAAUAUUGGCCAACGUACUGUAUUACCAUCAUCCUUCAUCGGCAGUCGUCNNNNNNNNNNNNNNNNNNNNNNNNNNNNNNNNNNNNNNNNNNNNNNNNNNNNNNNNNNNNNNNNNNNNNNNNNNNNNNNNNNNNNNNNNNNNNNNNNNNNUGAAGCUUCAAAUUUACGAACACCAAUUGCAUUAAGGAGAUUAUUUGUUACAAUAUUAGUGUUCUGUGAACCUACUGAUGUUAAAAGUCUAUGGGAAGAGUUUGAAAGUUAUAUGGUAACAAGCUCUACCAUCAUAACUAACUUUACUAAUAAACUUCUAAGAUAUUUGAACGACCUUUUACUUCUACAUGGAAAACAAAUCUCAAAUUUUGAUUUGCCAGCUUUACCAUUAUAGGAUGUUGAAGAUAAUGUAAUACCAAGAAUUAUUGAAGAACAAUUGUCGUUCCAUAUUUCUCAUCAAGAUUUGGAUGAUGUGGGAAAACUAAAUUCGGAUCAAUCACUUGCUUUCAACACCAUCAUGAAUGUCAUUGAGCAUAGACAGGGUAAAGUUUUUUUGUGUGGAUGGCCCUAGAGGAACAGGUAAAACGUUCCUUUAUCGUGCUUUAAUUUCAAGAUUAAGAAGUGUCGGACAAGACAAAUUAUCCUCGCAACGGCCACCUCUGGUAUAGCUGCAACAUUAUUACCUGGUGGUCAAACUGCACAUUCACGGUUUAGGAUACCUCUAAAUCCAGAUUCAUCAUCAGUAUGCUCAAUCAGCAAACAAUUUGAUCUUGCAAAACUAAUUAUACAAUCAUCAGCAAUAGUUUGGGAUGAAGCACCAAUGGUAAAUAGAUAUGCUUUGGAAGCAGUAGAUCGAACAUUAAGAGAUAUUAUAGGUUGUGAUGCUUCGUUUGGAGGGAAAGUUGUAAUAUUGGGAGGAGAUUUUAGACAGGUACUUCCAGUGAUACCUAAGGGUAAUAAUGCAGAAAUGAUAGCUGCAUGUAUUGUUAAGUCUCCUUUGUNNNNNNNNNNNNNNNNNNNNNNNNNNNNNNNNNNNNNNNNNNNNNNNNNNNNNNNNNNNNNNNNNNNNNNNNNNNNNNNNNNNNNNNNNNNNNNNNNNNNGGCCAACAUGCUGGACAUAGAGCUUUUCUACCUAGGAUUAAACUUAAAACGUCAGACAAUGCAGGACUCCCUUUUGUUCUUAUCAGAAAGCAAUUUCCUGUGCGAUUAAGUUUUGCACUCACCAUAAAUAAGGCACAAGGACAAACCAUUCCUAAUGUAGGCAUUUAUCUUCCUAAACAUGUCUUUGGACACGGACAACUAUAUGUUGCUCUAUCAAGAGGGGUUUCAAAAGCUACCACAAAAAUUCUUAUUAAAGAAGGAAAAAUUCAAGGGGAAGAGGGUGAUUUCACAAAGAAUAUUGUUUUUAAAGAUAUUUUAUUGCAUUGACUUAAUGCUAAUGAUGUUACUACAUACAUCUACAUUUAUGUGACCGUCAUACUUCAGUAACAACCAACGAUUAUCAAGAACAACCCAACGGUUCUCAACAGUCACAAAUCUAAUGAGAUUCAGAAGCUCACAAUGUCGUCUUUUCUACUCUACAUAAUAGUCCCUAUUUCUUCACUGUGUUUCUUCAUUUCAUAGUUAUUUCUUAAUAAGGUGUAGUAUUGAGAAUACUGUCAUUAUUACUUUCAUUACACAUUAUUAUUUUCUUCUUUACUUAAUCUUACAGCUUUUUGUAAUUCAAUUACAAAUUAUGUACAUAUUUCAUAUUUCUAUAAAAAAGUAUUGUACAUCAGCCAAAUUACCUAUUAUUUUUCCUAUAAAAAAUAUAUAAAUUUUGUGGUUUUUCCAAUAUAAUUCGACAUUGUGGCUUCAGUAUUCAAUAACAACACUCUAAACAUAAAAAUAUUUCUCAAUUUCCUCAUAUCAAAGAAAAUUCAUUACUCAUUUAUCAUGUCUAUUACUUUGUGCAAUCAUUAUUACAAAAAUAAGAAUGCAGUUCACAAACAUUCCAUUAAGACUUUAUAUAUUAGGAUUUAUUUCAAUGAUUAUGUAUUAAUCAUACUUUUUUUUUUACCUAUAAAAAUAAAUGUGAGUUACUAAACUAUUUGAAUGUUCAAUUUUAUUUAAUGUAUUCAAUUACAACACGUUACAAACAAUAGGAAAGCGAGUUGACAGGCACGGGAGUGCCUGUCAACACGCUAGUACUAGAUAAACUUAAAAUUUAAACUAGUCAUUCAUAUUUAAUAUAAGUUUUUUUUAUAUAUAUAAUAUUGAUGCAUAGAAGAGAGUAUACGUUUGAAUAUUUUUUAGGGCUUUGGUAGAAUACAUUUCACGAGCCUGAUUUUUAAGGUUAGUAAUUUAUUGGUUCCAUAGCAUGGUUUUGAAAUAAAUUUUGAAAAAAUUAGUACUAACAACUAUUAGCCCACAACUAAAUUGACCCAGCCCAGUCCAAAGAUUCACUUACUCGUAGUUGGCUAGUCCAAAUGGGUUAUGUUCAUUAUACGCGGUCAAUACAUAAUUUAUUAUGAUGCUUUUGUAAAAUCGCCUACGUAUGAAUGAAAAAUUCUACCUAUGGUGUGGUGUACAUAUCAAAAUCAAGAGUCUUUUUUAGGAUUUUAUUUCUUUUACUGAUGUCUUCUUCAUUUGUGAAUACAGAUUCGGCUCCAAACUUCUCUUUGUUUCUAUCCUGAAAACUUGUUCUCCUUCCACCUCCUUUUGCAUUUAUAUGCUUUAUUUAGGCUGUAAGGGUACUCACGAUAUCAUCCAACCUUUUGUAUUUUUUUUGUUUUUUACUAAGCCCACCCUUUCGAAGGGAUGAAGAUCACCUGUCUCCAACUAUGUCUCAUUUACUGUUCCAAACUAAUCACAUGUUCACAUGUGAAUAAAAGAAUAUUUUUAAAAACAAAAAGUAAUAAAAAGUAACACUCUGAUUGGAUUGUUACAUAAGGUGGGAUAUCGUUCUGGACACGUGAUUCCUAUUCCUUUGGAAGCUUAAUUCCCGGCCUAAUUCACUUUCACUGUAAUGUAAUAUGAUCAUUAAGAGUUGAAUCUUCCCUAGAGUCAAAUACUAAACACUGGUGUUGCUGCUUGAUCAUGAACUCUUUCUAAUUACUAAACACUUUGAUCAUGAAUUCUUUCUAAUUGCAUCAUAUGUCUGUUCUUUCUUCCCCAUCCCCCCAUUUUAUACUCUUAAUUAUUUUUAUUAAUGAAUUCUUCCUUUAUUAUAUCUUACAAAAAUCCUCUAAGAAAUUUGACAUUUUUCUAAUCAAAUCAUGUACUCUCUUUCCUACUUCAAUUGUCACCUUAGUAUGAAUAUAUUUAUUGUUUUUUAUGUUGUUGCUUUAGAAACCAAGUCAGAAUAAAUGCAAGGGAAAGCUCCACCACACGCGUCAACCCUUGUCCAUGGUGCAUAUAGACAUUAUUUGAUUAUUAUGAAAAAGCAGUACAGAACAUAAUACAAUAUUACAGAUACAGAUACAGUUUUAUUUUAUGAAAGGCUGAAACAACAGAAAACCAGUGAAUAACAAUAAGGAUUACAGUGAAGAAAGAAAGCAGUGAAUUGAUAAGAUCACUCUGAGUCAAUGUAAAUAAGAGCAUCGAGGAGAGGUUCGAGAUGGGGAAAAUGAGGAAUGAGAUCUGAUGGUUUAGCUAGCUCAUAGUCUUCAAGAUGAAAAGCAGGAGCAAAAGUAAGUCCUACUAAAGAGUAAUGACUCUCACCAUCCCUCUCUGGAGCUUUGAUGAAUUCCUUCUCAGAAAAGAUGCUAAAAUCAUGAGUUGGAAAAGCACCAACCCACACAUCGGAACCAUAAGGGACAGUGUAUUGAGGUAUCUCACCUUCACUUAGAUUGGGUCCAAGGCGGGUCAACUUCACAUCCCCAUCUUUCCCGUUCAGCUCAACUAUCUGCAAAUCAUUAAAUUAAUUCAUCCUUCGAUAUAUAGAGCCGACUUUGUGAAUAAAGACUUGAUUGUUGUUGUUAUAGUUAAGAGAAGAAAAAGGAUAGAUAG
rnacentral:lncRNA from 1 species